AGAAAGGUGAUUAUUUUGAGAGGCCUGGGGAGACACACAUGCUCAUUCUCGAGGGUGGCGGUGGUGCAGAGGGCAGAGCCAUGCUCGUUCUUGCUAUCCUGAGAUUGGUUGCUAUCUGUUUCCUUUGCUGCUGUGUUUUUUUCUGUCAGUAUUAAAGGUGGAAGAAGGUCCAUAUCUUUUUCUGUGGGUGCUUCAAGUGUUGUUGGAAGUGGAGGCAGCAGUGACAAGGGGAAGCUUUCCCUGCAGGAUGUAGCUGAGCUGAUUCGGGCCAGAGCCUGCCAGAGGGUGGUGGUCAUGGUGGGGGCCGGCAUCAGCACACCCAGUGGCAUUCCAGACUUCAGAUCGCCGGGGAGUGGCCUGUACAG
rnacentral:lncRNA from 1 species